AGGGGAUAUUCCGGGAGAGGGACGAGUUCGUGGUCAGGGUGGAGGACAUCCCGGCACUCAAGGUGAGACUGGGAUGGACUGGGACAGACUGGGAGGGACUGGGACAAACUGGGAGUCACUGGGGAGAGGGGAUAUUCCGGGAGAGGGACGAGUUCGUGGUGAGGGUGGAGGAUAUCCCCACACUCAAGGUGAGACUGGGACGGACUGGGAUGGACUGGGAUGGACUGGGAGUCACUGGGAGGGACUGGGAUGGACUGGGUUGGACUGGGAGGGACUGGGAGGGACUGGGAGUCACUGGGAGUCACUGGGAGGGACUGGGAGUCACUGGGAGUCACUGGGGAGAGGGGAUCUUCAGAGAGAGGGACGAGUUCGUGGUGAGGGUGGAGGAUAUCCCCGCACUCAAGGUGAGACUGGGAUGGACUGGGAGGGACUGGGAUGGACUGGGAGUCACUGGGAGGGACUGGGAUGGACUGGGUUGGACUGGGAGGGACUGGGAGGGACUGGGAGUCACUGGGAGUCACUGGGAGGGACUGGGAGUCACUGGGAGUCACUGGGGAGAGGGGAUCUUCAGAGAGAGGGACGAGUUCGUGGUGAGGGUGGAGGAUAUCCCCGCACUCAAGCUGGCGCUGCAGACGGGCCGGGAGCCGCCGCCCAUCUGGCGGGUGCAGAAGGCGCUGCUGCAGAAAUUCACCCCCGAGAUCAAAGACGGGCAGCGGCAGUUCUGCGCCACCAGCAACGUGAGCGGCACCCCAAAAAAUACCUGGGGGACCCCAAAAACUCCGGGGGAACACCAAAAAAUACCAGGGGAACCCAAAAAAUACCGGGGGAACCCAAAAACCCACGGGGCACCCCCAAAACCAGCCUGGGAAACCCAAAAAA
rnacentral:lncRNA from 1 species